UCCUCAAUAGCUCAGUCGGUAGAGCAAGCGGCUGUUAACCGCUGGGUCGUAGGUUCGAGUCCUACUUGGGGAG
rnacentral:tRNA from 2 species